rnacentral:lncRNA from 1 species
UCCGUUCUUGCCAGAUACAAUACACUGUAGCUGCGAAACCCAGUUUACGAGAAAAGUUGACGAAACUUUUGCCAUGCCAAGAGAGAGUGGCCAAUCGAAUCCAUUCAUCCAAGCUUUUUGUCAUUCUUGGAAUGUCGCAUCUGUCACAAACCUUCCACCAUAAUGCUUUCGUAAAGCUGCAUUCAAAGAAUAAGUGGUUGUGAUCUUCA